AUACAUUUCUUUCUGUUUUACAAAGUCAAAAACAUCCUUUGCUGGUUUUGCACCAGAGAACAGGGGUUAUCAUCUGUGUUUACCAUGUGGCCUCACAUGAGUUAACACUUUAAAGCACUAGAGAUUGUUAUAGAGAGUUUUAAGCUACCAGAAUAAAACAGAUUGAUUUUUUCUCAGAGCUUGAGUACAGCUGAAUAUUGCCUCUAUCUUAAAGGAAGUAGACAAUCCAGAAGAAAAACCAGAAGAGAAAGAAGAGGUUAUAGAUGACCAGGAGAACCUAGCUCAUAGCAGGAGGACCAGGGAAGAUAGAAAGGUAGAAGCCAUCAUGCAUGCUUUUGAAAACUUAGAGAAAAGAAAGAAGCGGCGGGAUCAGCCCUUGGAACAGAGCAAUUCUGAUGUAGAGAUUACUACAACCACCUCAGAGACUCCUGUUGGUGAAGAGACAAAAACUGAAGCCCCUGAAUCUGAAGUUAGCAACUCUGCUUCAAAUGUUACCAUCCCAAGCACCCCACAGAGUGUUGGUGUGAACACCCGGAGAUCUUCCCAAGCAGGGGAUAUUGCUGCAGAAAAACCAGUCCCCAAGCCA
rnacentral:sRNA from 1 species